UGGGGAAUAUUGCACAAUGGAGGGAACUCUGAUGCAGCGACGCCGCGUGAGUGAUGAAGGAAUUCGUUUCGUAAAACUCUGUUCUAUGGGAAGAAAAGGACUGUACCAUAGGAGAAAGCUCCGGCUAAAUACGUGCCAGCAGCCGCGGUAAUACGUAUGGAGCGAGCGUUGUCCGGAAUUAUUGGGCGUAAAGGGUGCGUAGGCGGCUUUACAAGUUGGAUGUGAAAUAUUGUGGCUCAACCACAAACGUGCAUCCAAAACUGCAAAGCUUGAGUUAAGGAGAGGUAAGUGGAAUUCCUGGUGUAGCGGUGGAAUGCGUAGAUAUCAGGAGGAAUACCGGUGGCGAAGGCGACUUACUGGACUUAAACUGACGCUCAGGCACGAAAGCGUGGGGAGCAAACAGG
rnacentral:rRNA from 1 species